rnacentral:rRNA from 1 species
CCAGCACCUGCGGUAAUUCCCGCUCCAAGAGCGUAUAUUAAAGUUGUUGCAGUUAAAAAGCUCGUAGUUGGAUUUCUGGUAUAAUGCGCCUGGCCCGCCAAGGUCACGUGUGUGAGUGCCGGUGCGCGUUUACCAUCAUUAUAGAAAACGGUUCUACCCUUCACUGGGCCGGACUCGCGAUCUAGAUCUUUUACUUUGAAAAAAUUAGAGUGUUUAAAGCAGGCUUUUGCUGUGAAUACAUUAGCAUGGAAUAAUAAUCUAGGACUUCGGUUCUAUUUUGUUGGUUUCUAUAACUGAAGUAAUGAUUGAUAGGGAUAGUUGGGGGUGCUAGUAUUGGCCGGCCAGAGGUGAAAUUCUUGGAUUCGGUCAAGACUAACUUAUGCGAAAGCAUUCACCAAGGAGGUCUUCUUUAAUCAAGAACGAAAGU